CAUGGCUCAGGACGAACGCGGGGGCGUGCUUAACACAUGCAAGUCGAACGCUGAAGCCUGGUGCUUGCACCGGGGGUGAGUGGCGAACGGGUGAGUAAUACGUGAGUGACCUGCCUUUGACUCUGGGAUAAGCCUGGGAAACUGGGUCUAAUACCGGAUGCGACUACUGCCCGCAUGGGCUGGUGGUGGAAAGGGUUAUGUACUGGUCUUAGAUGGGCUCACGGCCUAUCAGCUGGUUGGUGGGGUAAUGGCCUACCAAGGCGACGACGGGUAGCCGGCCUGAGAGGGUGACCGGCCACACUGGGACUGAGACACGGCCCAGACUCCUACGGGAGGCAGCAGUGGGGAAUAUUGCACAAUGGGCGCAAGCCUGAUGCAGCGACGCCGCGUGAGGGAUGACGGCCUUCGGGUUGUAAACCUCUUUCAGCAGGGAAGAAGCGGAAGUGACG
rnacentral:rRNA from 1 species